ACAUCACUCAGAGCAACUGGAGGGAACUUCAGAGCUUCUGGAGACAAUGCCAAGCCCCAGAACCUUCUGGCUUCUCCUGGCUAAAGCCGGCUGCAAGCACCAGGCUCAGCAGCAUUGUUCAAACCACUCCCUGCUCGCAGACUCUCGGUGCAGCCUGUUCCCUACAGCAGUGCUCCUGAGACCCCCUGGAACACAAGGAGGGGAGCUUGUUUUAAACGCUGGUGCCUGGGUUGCACUCCAGAGCUACAGAAUCACAUUUGUGUGGAAGAGAAAUGCAAAUUUAGAUCACCAGGAAACCUCAUUUUUCCGCACGCCAGAUUGGUAAAGAUAAAGACUGGUGAAUCGGGAUUUGUCGGGAAUGAGGGAACAGGACACGCAAGACGUUGCCAGUUGUGGUAUAAUCAGUGUAACUCUGUGAAUAGUAAUUCCCACUCUGAAUCAGAUUUUAAAUGUAUAUCUUUGAACCGCCAGUUUCUCUCAUAGGUGUUGGUCUUCCAGAUAUACUUUUGCAGAUGUGCAAAAUGACAUGAUGUACUUGGAUGUUCACUGUAGUGCUAUUUAUAAUAGCAAAAGACUGGAAAUGUCUAAAUACCCACAUA